CACGAACGCUGGCGGCAGGCUUAACACAUGCAAGUCGAGCGCCCCGCAAGGGGAGCGGCAGACGGGUGAGUAACGCGUGGGAAUCUACCCAUCUCUACGGAAUAACGCAUGGAAACGUGUGCUAAUACCGUAUACGUCCUUCGGGAGAAAGAUUUAUCGGAGAUGGAUGAGCCCGCGUUGGAUUAGUUAGUUGGUGGGGUAAAGGCCUACCAAAGCGACGAUCCAUAGCUGGUCUGAGAGGAUGAUCAUCCACACUGGGACUGAGACACGGCCCAGACUCCUACGGGAGGCAGCAGUGGGGAAUAUUGGACAAUGGGCGCAAGCCUGAUCCAGCCAUGCCGCGUGAGUGAUGAAGGCCCUAGGGUUGUAAAGCUCUUUCACCGGUGAAGAUAAUGACGGUAACCGGAGAAGAAGCCCCGGCUAACUUCGUGCCAGCCGCCGCAGUAAGAC
rnacentral:rRNA from 1 species